GAUGAAGAACGUAGCGAAAUGCGAUAAGUAGUGUGAAUUGCAGAAUUCAGUGAAUCAUCGAAUCUUUGAACGCACAUUGCGCCCCUUGGUAUUCCAUGGGGCAUGCCUGUUCGAGUGUCAUUUGUACCUUCAAGCUUUGCUUGGUGUUGGGUGUUUGUCUCGCCUUUGCGUGUAGACUCGCCUUAAAAUAAUUGGCAGCCGGCGUAUUGAUUUCGGAGCGCAGUACAUCUCGCGCUUUGCACUCAUAACGACAGCGUCCAAAAGUACAUUUUACACUCUUGACCUCGGAUCAGGUAGGGAUACCCGCUGAACUUAAGCAUAUCAAUAAGCGGAGGA
rnacentral:misc_RNA from 1 species